GUAGUGAAUAUUGGACAAUGGGCGGAAGCCUGAUCCAGCCAUGCCGCGUGGAGGAAGAAUGCCCUCUGGGUUGUAAACUCCUUUUGAAAGGGAAGAAACCUCUCUAUUUAUGGAUGAGCUGACGGUACCUUUCGAAUAAGCACCGGCUAACUCCGUGCCAGCAGCCGCGGUAAUACGGAGGGUGCAAGCGUUAUCCGGAUUUACUGGGUUUAAAGGGUGCGUAGGCGGGCCGAUAAGUCAGUGGUUAAAUACCCGUGCUCAACAUGGGAAUUGCCAUUGAUACUGUUGGUCUUGAAUAUGAGUGAGGCAGGCGGAAUGAUGCAUGUAGCGGUGAAAUGCUUAGAUAUGUUUCAGAACACCUAUUGCGAAGGCAGCUUGCUAAUUCAUGAUUGACGCUGAGGCACGAAAGCGUGGGGAGCAAACAGGAUUAGAUACCCGUGUAGUCC
rnacentral:rRNA from 1 species